AAGAUCGAAUGCAUGAUCAAAAUAUCUGAACACAACUACCCUGCCCCAGGUUAAGAUUAAGGGUUUUAGAUCCGAAACAAACACCAACUUCUAGGCUCAAAGUGGUUGUCUAGGGAUUAACUCCUUAUAACUUCAGUGUUUGGGGAUUUGAAACAAUGCCUUACAUCAUCGACAAGGUUUACUCAAAAGCAUACCACAACAAUUUCAGGUGUUUUAUUUUCAUCAUCCUCCUUCCAAUCUUUG
rnacentral:lncRNA from 1 species